rnacentral:rRNA from 1 species
GACUUUUGGUAGAGACUGUUGAAGCCACCUGGUCCCAGCAGACCCCAGAAAAUGGCCACAUUCGCUGGUGCUGGAAACAAGGUCAUUAAGGGUGAAGCCUGGUGCCAGAUGUGU